rnacentral:rRNA from 1 species
AGAGUUUGAUCAUGGCUCAGAACGAACGCUGGCGGCGUGGCUAAGACAUGCAAGUCGAACGGACCUGUUAAUUUAUUAGCAGGUUAGUGGCGAAAGGGUGAGUAAUGGAUAGGUAACGUACCCCGUACUCUGGGAUAGCCAUCCGAAAGGGUGGGUAAUACCGGAUAAUAUCACCGGCUGACGGGUCGGUGAUCAAAGAUUUAUCGGCGCGGGAGCGGCCUAUCUCCUAUCAGCUAGUUGGCGAGGUAAUGGCUCACCAAGGCGAUGACGGGUAGCGGGACUGAGAGGUUGGCCCGCCACAUCGGAACUGAGAUACUGUCCGGACCCCCACGGGGGGCUGCAGUAACGGAUCUUGGGCAAUGGGCGAAAGCCUGACCCAGCGACGCCGCGUGCGGGAGGAAGCCCUUCGGGGUGUAAACCGCUGUCAGGGACGUGAAAGUCCACUUCGGUGGAUUGAUCUAACCCAGAGGAAGUCACGGCUAACUCUGUGCCAGCAGCCGCGGUAAGACAGAGGUGGCUAGCGUUGUUCGGUAUCACUGGGCUUAAGCGUGUGUAGGCGGAAGCGUAAGCAUUUUGUGAAAUCCCUCGGCUUAACCGGGGAAUUGCUUGAUGUACUGCGCUUCUUGAGGCAGGUAGGGGUGCGAGGAACUCUUGGUGGAGCGGUGGAAUGCGUAGAUAUCAAGAGGAACGCCGGUGGUGAAGACGUCGCACUGGGCCUGUCCUGACGCUGAGACACGAAAGCGUGGGGAGCAAACGGGAUUAGAUACCCCGGUAGUCCACGCCGUAAACGAUGCCUACUAGGUUGUGGCGGUUCUGACGCCGGCACAGCCGAAGCCAAAGUGUUAAGUAGGCCGCCUGGGGAGUACGGUCGCAAGGCUAAAACUCAAAGGAAUUGACGGGGGCUCACACAAGCGGUGGAGCAUGUGGAUUAAUUCGAAGCAACGCGCAGAACCUUACCUGGGUUUGACAUGCUUGGAUGCUUGCCAUGAAAGUGGUUAAGCUGCCCUUCGGGGUGAAACUUGCACAGGUGCUGCAUGGCUGUCGUCAGCUCGUGUCGUGAGAUGUCGGGUUAAGUCCUCUAACGAGCGAAACCCUUGCCGUUAGUUACCAGCGGGUCAUGCCGGGAACUCUAGCGGGACUGCCGGUGUUAAACCGGAGGAAGGUGGGGAUGACGUCAAGUCAUCAUGGCCUUUAUGCCCAGGGCAUCACACGUGCUACAAUGGUCGGUACAAAGCGACGCAAGACCGCGAGGUGGAGCAAAUCGCAAAAAGCCGGCCCCAGUUCGGAUUGCAGGCUGGCAACUCGCCUGCAUGAAGUUGGAAUCGCUAGUAAUCGUGAAUCAGCUAUGUCACGGUGAAUGUGUUCCUGAGCCUUGUACACACCGCCCGUCAAGUGAUGGGAGUUGGAAGCACCCGAAGUCAGGUUGCCAACCCGCAAGGGAGGCGCCUGCCGACGGUGAGUCCGACGACUGGCACUAAGUCGUAACAAGGUAGCCG